rnacentral:rRNA from 1 species
GAUCCUGGCUCAGGAUGAACGCUGGCGGCGUGCCUAACACAUGCAAGUCGAGCGAUCUCUUCGGAGAGAGCGGCGGACGGGUGAGUAACGCGUGGGUAACCUGCCCUGUACACACGGAUAACAUACCGAAAGGUAUGCUAAUACGGGAUAAUAUAUAAGAGUCGCAUGACUUUUAUAUCAAAGAUUUUUCGGUACAGGAUGGACCCGCGUCUGAUUAGCUUGUUGGCGGGGUACGCC